UUGGCUGCUCCACACCCCCAGCUUAACUCGCGCACAGCCGCCGUGAUGCAACUCUCGCGUGAUUUUCUCCAGGAAAUUUCCCUGGCCGCCAUAUUAAGUGUGGCGGCCAGUGUUAGAAGCCAUCUUGGCUGACCAAUACCUCGCGAUAUUCUGUCUGCAGUCCUUCCCUUGUUGAUCUUUUUAGUUUUCCACCUUCCUUUCAGUUUCAGUUUAGAUGUAAUUUUAUCUGUGAGGCUUCCCUUAGCUUCUUCAGUCAGUUUAGUUACCCCUCCUUCCUCUAAAUCGCUUUGCACUUAUAACUCAUAGCCUUGUUCAAGGCUUAGGCGGAAUUUUGUAAUGAACAAAAUGGAUAGGAUCCUAGUCUUCACAGAGUUACCGUUGUGACAAGUGCUUGUCAUUCAUUCAUUCAACAAACAUUUAAUAAAUGUCUCCUGUGCACCAAGCAGUGGGAUAAAAUGAGGAACAAGUGUCUGCAGUCACGCAACAAAAAAUGGAUUAAGACGCCAAGAGUGGAGAGUCCCUGCACAAACUGGAUUCAACAAGGACAGAAAGGAAGCCCAAACGCUUUACAUAUUGCCUGCUUUACACCCCAGGCUCAAGUCCAGAAAGUCCCUGUGAUACAACUCUCCAGUGAUUUCCCCUGAGGUCCAACCUAGUAGGUGCUUAAAAAGUCUUUGUUGUAAAUUAAUAAAUUAAUCCAAAACCA